GGUAUCCUGACCGUGCUAAGGUAGCAUAAUCACUUGCCUUUUAAUUGAAGGCUGGAAUGAAUGGAUCUACGUAAAUAAAACUGUCUCUAUUAUACCGAUAAAAACUAGACUCUAAGUGAAAAUACUUAUAUUAAAAUAAAGGACAAAAAGACCCUAUAGAGCUGCAUUCAUAAAAUCAAAUAAAGAACUAAAAACUUAAUACACUUCCGCAUGAAUUUUGUUGGGGCGACAUAGGAAUAUAUAAAUCUUCCUUAUAUAAAAAGAAAACAAUUCUUUCAAAAGAUCCUAUAAAGAUCAAAGAAAAAAGCUACCUUAGGGAUAACAGACUAAUCUCCUUAGAGAGUCCAAAUUGACAAGGAGGAUUGGCACCUCGAUGUUGGGCUUAGGAA
rnacentral:rRNA from 1 species